rnacentral:rRNA from 1 species
GACGAACGCUGGCGGCGUGCCUAAUACAUGCAAGUCGAGCGAGCGGCGGACGGGUGAGUAACACGUACGGAACCUACCGAUAAGCGGGGGACAACAUCCGGAAACGUGUGCUAAUACAGCCUACUUAUCGAUGGCCUUGCGGUGCAUUAGCUCGUUGGUGGGGUAACGGCCUACCAAGGCAAUGAUGCAUAGCCGACCUGAGAGGUGAAUCGGCCACAUUGGGACUGAGACACGGCCCAAACUCCUACGGGAGGCAGCAGUAGGGAAUCUUCCGCAAUGGGCGCAAGCCUGACGGAGCAACGCCGCGUGAGUGAAGAAGGUUUUCGGAUCGUAAAGCUCUGUUGUAAGAGAAGCGGUAUCUUAACAGAAAGCCACGGCUAACUACGUGCCAGCAGCCGCGGUAAUUC